CACGUAGGAGGCGAGCGUUAUCCGGAUUUACUGGGCGUAAAGCGCGUGUAGGCGGCUCGGAAAGUUGGAUGUGAAAGCUCCUGGCUUAACUGGGAGAGGUCGUUCAAAACUACCGAGCUAGAGUACGAGAGAGGGAGGUGGAAUUCCGGGUGUAGUGGUGAAAUGCGUAGAUAUCCGGAGGAACACCAGUGGCGAAAGCGGCCUCCUGGCUCGAAACUGACGCUCAGACGCGAAAGCUAGGGUAGCAAACGGGAUUAGAGACCCCGGUAGUCCUAGCUGUAAACGAUGUAGACUUGGCGUAGGUGGGUUCAAAUCCAUCUGUGCCGAAGCAAACGCGAUAAGUCUACCGCCUGGGGACUACGGCCGCAAGGUUAAA
rnacentral:rRNA from 1 species